rnacentral:rRNA from 1 species
CAGCAGCCACGGGAAUACGAAGGGGGCUAGCGUUGUUCGGAAUUACUGGGCGUAAAGGGCGCGUAGGCGGCCAUUCAAGUCAGAUGUGAAAGCCCUGGGCUCAACCUAGGAAUUGCAUUUGAUACUGUUUGGCUUGAGUUCGGGAGAGGUGAGUGGAAUUCCCAGUGUAGAGGUGAAAUUCGUAGAUAUUGGGAAGAACACCAGUGGCGAAGGCGGCUCACUGGACCGACACUGACGCUGAGGCGCGAAAGCGUGGGGAGCAAACAGGAUUAGAUACCCCCGUAGUCCCUGUCUCUUAUAA